rnacentral:misc_RNA from 1 species
GAUUUAUUUCGAGUUUUUGUAAAAAAAGUGUUACUUGAAUUCCGUGGAAACUCCUGUCUAUAGUCACAAAACUAAAACAGAAAGUGUAUUAGUUUAAAUUUUAAUCGAACAGAACAGUGAUAAACGUUACCCACAGAUAAAACAGUGGCAGAUAGCACAAUUUAAAAAUAAUACUCAAAGUUCACAAGACAAAAUGCCGUUAAGAACAUUAAAUUCAUCCUUUGGGGGUGGAGUGAGGAACGAGACGGAGCUGUG